rnacentral:tRNA from 1 species
GGAGAGGUGGCUCAGUGGUUAGAGCACUGGCUGCUCUUCCAGAGGUCCUGAGUUCAAUUCCCAGCAACCACA